rnacentral:rRNA from 1 species
UACGGGGGGAGCAAGCGUUGUUCGGAUUUACUGGGCGUAAAGGGCGCGUAGGCGGUCAGCACAAGUCAGUUGUGAAAUCUCCGGGCUUAACUCGGAAAGGUCAACUGAUACUGUGCGACUAGAGUGCGGAAGGGGCAACUGGAAUUCUCGGUGUAGCGGUGAAAUGCGCAGAUAUCAGGAGGAACACCGGUGGCGAAGGCGGGUCUCUGGGCAAUAACUGACGCUGAGGAGCGAAAGCGUGGGGAGCGAACAGG